rnacentral:tRNA from 1 species
GUAAAUAUAGUUUAAACAAAACAUUAGAUUGUGAAUCUAACAAUAGAGACUUUCAACCUCUUAUUUACC